GUUCCUUCUCACUUUCACCCUCACUUUUUGUUUCUGUCCUUCCCUUUCCCUCUCCUUUCACCCUCUUCAAAUAGUGUUGAGAGGAAAAAGGGUCUCAAAGAUGGAACCAAAAGACGGGUUUGUUGUUGAAGGUCCCUAUAAGGGUUUUCUCAUCAUGCACGUGACUAACAGCAAGGUAGCCAUGGUCAACCCUCCGAGAAUUGGGAGAUGUGACCAAAAAGAAGCCAUUAGUGGCUCUGAAAUUGGAGCUGACAAUUCUCCUGAAUUGGUGGCAGCAGCAGCAGGAGCUUCACUCUAAUCCGGUGCUAUCCUAUCUGAGCUUUUACUACCUUCUUUCAUCAUCUAUUUUCCAUCACACUUUUUUGUUUUUUUAGGACUCUUCUUGACCUUGUAAGGCCUUUUCUUGACCUUGUAAGACCUCACACCCUAUCUAUUUUCUUUGUUUUUGCUUAUUUGGAAAACCCUAUAUCACAAACCACUGAUAUAGAGUUUGAUUUCCUUCUUUCCCCGUUGCCACCCAAUUCAUCUUCUCCUUCCUUCUCUAUCCCUCCUGAGCUGUUACAUUUUUUGCCUACCAAGAUGCAACAACUAAUAUCAUGCCAUGGCUUCAAAGAACCUCGCUCAAUGGCGGUUCUUCAAAUCUGCUAGCUAUUCGGAGACCAUGGCUUCCAGAAGUACAAUCUGGGUAUAUUGUUCUUUUACCUGUGAAAAAUCAAUGUAGCUUGUAGUUUGUGCAGCUGCUAGCAUACUUGGUCGUGGUCCCUCUUGUUGAUUUGAUUUCUUCUUUUAUGCAAAGCAAGUAAGAUAAAUGUCAUGAGUAAGCUCAAUUUGGCACUACAUGUGUCCUAGGCUGCUAAAGCCCCAUCUCUCCAUCCAAUACAUAGAACUGAAAAGCAUUAAAGUCACACACUCACUCCAAUUGAAUCACAUCAAGUAGAAGAAUGAAUCACCCUUCUCUUGCUUAGUACUAGACCUUUCUUUCUCUCUUUUCCUUGUGUAAUUUGAAAUGCAAAUGUUCAAUUAUCUAAUGCACAGACCACACCACCAAGUGAGAGUGUGGGAACUUUCCUAGCAAGUGAGAUGACAGCAAAUUUGACGCUGAAAACCCAAUUUCCCUUUAGCUCUCUUGAUUUGGAAGGGUGCUUCAGCCAUUCCUUUCACAUGGCAGGUGAAGGACAAGCACUUUGGGAUAGAAUACAACCUGAGCCCAUAAGGAAUAUUACACAUCCCAAUGUUUUUGAUGGGGCUGCGACACACACCUACCACCCUCAAAUAGUGAAGAAUAAUACUUCUCAAAUUACCACUUUCUCCUUCAAUUCAUUUUCUACACAGCAACAUAUCAAACAUGUCGGCAUCAUAAACAAAAAAACAAGAGGGUGGGGUAGAAUUUAUGUGUUUUUAACCAUAUUCCAUUUCAGAUGCCUAACAUAUUGUUUCCAUCAAUCAAUCACGUGGUAGACCAACCUAACAGCGUAGACAAAGAUUUUUCUCUGUAUACAUACUGUAUGCAGUAUAUUCCAAAACGGAUGCAUAAAAUUUUGUGUAUUGACACGAUUUGUGUGAUGGUUAUGCAAGUCUAGGGAAAGAAAAAAAGAAAGAAAGAAUUUGUGACGCAUCAACUACGGAAACCUUUUGCCUACAAAUUCAAUUCAACAGCAUACUUUGACUAAUAAUGUAUUCUGGUUUUUCAGGUUUUUAAUUACAGAUGUACUGCAUCAACUUUUAUGUACUGCUUUUUAUACUCUCUUUUUUGUCUCGAUUUUACUAAUUGAAACGUAGCCGCAAUUGCGACCAUAAUUUAAAAUAGAGCAUAAAUAGGAAUUUUCUCUAUAUAGGCCUGUGGGGUUUAGAAGUAGAGUGGAAAAAUAGUAUGCAGCAAUAAAUGAGAUUUGUGAAGUAUAAAUUCUGAUAUAGAACUGAAGAGGGAUUUUACUUGCAUGAAAGGCAGAUGAGGAAAAUUAAUGUAAAGAUAAAAUUUAGAUUGAAUGUAAUGGAAUGAAUGAAAGGUUUGACUGGGAUGGUGGAUUAUAUGAAAGUGUGGAAGGUAAAGAAGACAGUAAAGGUAUAAGAAAAAGGGUUUGUAUACAUUUUUUAUGUGCCCAAAAGGAAUCAAAGGUGGCACGAAAUGAUGAUGUCUAUGAUGGACAUUGAAAAGUUAAAUGUCUUUCCCUAGGGUAUGAGUUCGUAACUAUUUACCCUCACCCCACCAAAGGAGCCCUGUUUUUUAUGUCUGUGUUUGUAGUUUGUGGCAAUGAGAGAGCGCAACGUAAAGGCUGAGCUUGAAUUAAGUUACAAUGACAAUAUGAUUCUCGUAUUCCUUUUGAGGUGAUUUGGCAUUAGGUACUACCACCCAUGGCCCCAUCUUGAUCAAGCUUUUUUCCACCUUUAGGUUACAUGCGAACAUGGCUCCUUCAUUACCUCUUACUUUUUCCUCAGCAUCAUUCCGUGACCCUUUGGAGACUAAGGGGAUAACAUC